rnacentral:snRNA from 1 species
GUGCUUGCUUUGGCAGCACAUAUACUAAAAUUGGACCAAUACAGAGAACAUUAGCAUAGAAUGGGGAAAUAAAGACACAGUAUAAAUUGGU